GUGAAUCAUCGAAUUUUUGAACGCAAAUUGCACUCCCCGGUAAUCCGGAGAGUAUGUGUGUUUGAGGCUCAGUUUAAAUAAAAACGGGUGUGGUUGCCGCCUUUCGUGGUGACGCAUCGGAUCUGGGUCGUUUCGCUUUCGGUUAAGUGACCUAAAAAUUUGCAUGAUUUUUCUCUAACGGAUUCAAAUGAUUAUACGUACGUUUGUGAUAU
rnacentral:misc_RNA from 1 species